rnacentral:rRNA from 1 species
UACGUAGGUGGCAAGCGUUGUCCGGAAUUACUGGGUGUAAAGGGCGUGUAGGCGGGGAAACAAGUCAGAUGUGAAAUACCGGGGCUCAACUCCGGGGCUGCAUCUGAAACUGUAUCUCUUGAGUGCUGGAGAGGAAAGCGGAAUUCCUAGUGUAGCGGUGAAAUGCGUAGAUAUUAGGAGGAACACCAGUGGCGAAGGCGGCUUUCUGACAGUAACUGACGCUGAGGCACGAAAGCGUGGGGAGCAAACAGG